UUUCCUUAUAUCGUCCACACACCCCCUAACCACUUCCUGCUCUGCCAGUGCCCCCAGGAAACUGACAUUGGGGGAGCAUGCGCAGAAAUUCUGAAGGCAGAAAGGAAGGGAGAGAGAGGUAAGGGUAUUACUUGCUGCUUCAGGGAGGGGUCUCCAGUACUCUGUCUGCCCUAAAGACUACAGCUCCUUUUGAUGGGCCCUUCCUCUUCCUCCAUGGUUCCAGUCUGGGCUAUGGUUUCCUCCUCUUGUCUUUUUACACCCAAGGCUGUUUACCUGCUUCCCACUUUUGCUGGUCUUUUAGCUUUUCACAUCCCUUCAUUAUUCCCUUCCCCAGGCCUUCACAUGCUUGUGGUCCCUGCAGUAAAACCUCUUCAUUUGAACCACCUGCUGCAACCCUGAUUGAUACAAAGAGACUACACUGAAUAGCCAUGGAGUGCUUUGAAAGGAAUACCUGCUGUGAAUCUAAGUUUGUGGAAUCAUCAGACCACACGGUGCGAGAGACCAUGGGUUUCGGAAUCAGACACACCUGAAUUAGCAACCAGGCUGUCACUUACUAGCCGUGUGACCCUGGACUAUAAAGAAAUUUGAGUUGAUUUCACCAAGGGUUGACAUGAGCUGAGAGGACAUCUCCCGCCAGGCAGGGAGCAUUUGGCGCUGCUCCUAGAAACUGAACCUGGAUAUCAAAUCCAGACGGUGC